rnacentral:tRNA from 1 species
GAGGAAGGUCCGCAAGACAGCUGAAUACUGCUAAAUUUCAUACACCCCGGUUGAACUCCGGGGCUUUCAUCG